GAUGAACGCUAGCGGCAGGCUUAACACAUGCAAGUCGAGGGGUAUAAGGAGCUUGCUCCUUAGAGACCGGCGCACGGGUGCGUAACGCGUAUGCAACCUACCUUUCACAGGGGGAUAGCCCAGAGAAAUUUGGAUUAAUACCCCAUGGUAUAAUCGGAUGGCAUCAUUUGAUUAUUAAAGUUCCAACGGUGAAAGAUGGG
rnacentral:rRNA from 1 species